CUUCUUCACACACCAGAAACACAGUUUUUGCAUGGAACUGCAUUGGUCUUAGAGGAAGAUGAAUCUGAGUUAUAUUAUUAUAUUUGUACUGGUUUCAUUUCCAGAUGCACAUGGUCAAUCACUGACCUCUUCUGGCUCUGAAGUAAAGAAACCAGGAGAAUCAGUCACACUAUCUUGUGUGGUUUCUGGACUCUCCCUUAGCUGGCUGCACUGGAUCCGUCAGAAACCAGGGAGAGGACUGGAGUGGAUCGGCCGAAUUGACGAUGACACUGGCACUAUUUUUGCUCAGUCUCUACAUGGCCAGUUCUCCAUCACAAAAGACACCAGCAAAAACAUGGUGUACUUGGAGAUAAAGAGCCUGAAGACUGAAGACACAGCUGUUUAUUACUGUGCAAGACAGUCACAGUUACACAAAAGACUGCAGGGCUGAACAAAAACUAUUCAUGUGAUCUCUGAUG